GCCCUCGUGGCUCAGUGGUAGAGCGUGUCCUUGGUAAGGACAAGGUCGCGAGUUCAAUUCUCGCCGAGGGCU
rnacentral:tRNA from 1 species